rnacentral:rRNA from 1 species
GGUUUAUUAACUUGUUGUAUGAUUUUUUAGGAUUUUGUGCCUUUUGCAUCAUGCUUGAUGGAGUUAAAGAUGUAGUUUUUAUACCGAAAAAUCCAGAUUUUAUUUAGUGUUGUUGUGAACUGAUGUUGUUCGGGUUGAUUGAUUUAAACAUUAAGUAGGUAGUGAAAAGUUAGUCGUUGGAUUUUAUAUCUGUUUAACUGUUAUAUGAUUUUGAUUGAUGUUUGAAGCGAUAAGGUUUUAGGCGGUUUUAUACUAGAUGUUUUAUGUUGUUAUAAUAAGGUUAAAAGUACCUAUUUUUGGAAAGUUUGUUAAAAAUUGUUAGUAGGUGAAUGUAUAGUUAAUUAAUUUUGCAGUUUGUUUAAAUAGUUAGUUUUUAAAUAUCAUUAAAUAAGUAAUUGAAUUAUAGUUGUUAUUUCUAGCUGUUUGCCCGUCUGUUUAGUAAAAACAUUUCUAAGUUUUAUUAUACUUAGUAAGACCUGCUCAAUGCUUAUGUUAAUAGCCGCAGUAUUUUGACUGUGCAAAGGUAGCAUAAUUAAUUGUCUCAUAAUUGGAGACUUGUUUGAAUGGUUAGACGUGGUAAUGAUGGAUAUCUGUUAUUUUUUUGAAAUUGUUUUUGUGGUUCAGAAACCACAGUAGUUAGUUAGACGGAAAGACCCCGGGAUCUUUUAGUUUUGCCUGGGGCAGGUUUUUGUGUUUUACUGAAAUUGUGUCCCUAUGAAUGAUGGAUUAGUGGGUUAAGUUACCCCGGGGAUAACAGUGUAAUAGUUAAUAAAAGAUCGUAUUGAGUUAAUUGAUUGCUACCUCGAUGUUGACUUAGGUUUAGGCUGUUGGCGUAGUAGUUUGCAGUGUGGGUCUGUUCGACCUUUGUUACCUUCAUGAGUUGAGUUAAGACCGGCGUGAGCCAGGUCGGUUCUUAUCUACUAUGGUGAUUUACUAGUACGAAAGGACCGUAAGUUGUUUUAUU